UACGUAGGGGCUAGCGUUAUCCGGAAUUACUGGGCGUAAAGGGCGUGUAGGUGGACUGAUCAGUCGGGUGUGAAAUAUCCAGGCUCAACCUGGAGGGUGCAUCCGAUACGGUCAGUCUUGAGUGCAGGAGAGGAGAAUGGAAUUCCUAGUGUAGCGGUGAAAUGCGUAGAGAUUAGGAAGAACACCAGUGGCGAAGGCGAUUCUCUGGACUGUAACUGACGCUGAGGCUCGAAAGCGUGGGGAGCAAACAGGAUUAGA
rnacentral:rRNA from 1 species